rnacentral:rRNA from 1 species
UGGGGAAUAUUGGACAAUGGGGGGAACCCUGAUCCAGCAAUGCCGCGUGUGUGAAGAAGGCCUGCGGGUUGUAAAGCACUUUCAGUAGGGAAGAUGGGGUCGAAUGCUAAUACCAUUCGAUCCUGACGUAACCUACACAAGAAGCACCGGCUAACUCCGUGCCAGCAGCCGCGGUAAUACGGAGGGUGCAAGCGUUAAUCGGAAUUACUGGGCGUAAAGGGCACGUAGGCGGUCUGGCAAGUCGGAUGUGAAAGCCCAGGGCUUAACCCUGGAAUUGCAUUCGAUACUGUCGGACUUGAGUAUGGUAGAGGAAGGCGGAAUUCCGGGUGUAGCGGUGAAAUGCGUAGAUAUCCGGAAGAACACCAGUGGCGAAGGCGGCCUUCUGGACCAAAACUGACGCUGAGGUGCGAAAGCGUGGGUAGCAAACAGGAUUAGAUACCCCCGUAGUCC